rnacentral:tRNA from 1 species
GGGGGUACAGCACAGUGGUAGAGCACUACCACUGUGGUGUGAGGCCCUGGGUUCAAUCCCCAGGACUUCCU